UCAGGACGAACGCUGGCGGCGUGCCUAAUACAUGCAAGUCGAACGGUCUUUCUAUGGAAGCUUGCUUCCACUGAGAAGAUAGUGGCGAACGGGUGAGUAACACGUGGGUAACCUGCCCAUAAGAGGGGGGAUAACAUCCGGAAACGGGUGCUAAUACCGCAUAGUUUUCUUGAUCGCAUGAUUGAGAAAGGAAAGACGGCCUUUGUGCUGUCGCUUAUGGAUGGACCCGCGGCGUAUUAGUUAGUUGGUGAGGUAACGGCUCACCAAGACGAUGAUACGUAGCCGACCUGAGAGGGUGAUCGGCCACAUUGGGACUGAGACACGGCCCAAACUCCUACGGGAGGCAGCAGUAGGGAAUCUUCCGCAAUGGACGAAAGUCUGACGGAGCAACGCCGCGUGAGUGAAAGAAGGUUUUCGGAUCGUAAAACUCUGUUGUCAGAGAAGAACAAGUUGGAGAGUAACUGCUCCAGCCUUGACGGUAUCUGACCAGAAAGCCACGGCUAACUACGUGCCAGCCGCCGC
rnacentral:rRNA from 1 species